UACAGAGGGGGCAAGCGUUGUUCGGAAUUACUGGGCGUAAAGGGCUCGUAGGCGGCCAACUAAGUCGGACGUGAAAUCCCUCGGCUUAACCGGGGAACUGCGUCCGAUACUGGAUGGCUUGAGUUUGGGAGAGGGAUGCGGAAUUCCAGGUGUAGCGGUGAAAUGCGUAGAUAUCUGGAGGAACACCGGUGGCGAAGGCGGCAUCCUGGACCAACACUGACGCUGAGGAGCGAAAGCCAGGGGAGCAAACGGG
rnacentral:rRNA from 1 species